rnacentral:rRNA from 1 species
AACGCUGCGGCAUGCCUUACACAUGCAAGUCGAACGGCAGCACGGGCUUCGGCCUGGUGGCGAGUGGCGAACGGGUGAGUAAUACAUCGGAACGUGCCCUGUCGUGGGGGAUAACUAGUCGAAAGAUUAGCUAAUACCGCAUACGACCUGAGGGUGAAAGCGGGGGACCGCAAGGCCUCGCGCGAUAGGAGCGGCCGAUGUCUGAUUAGCUAGUUGGUGGGGUAAGAGCCUACCAAGGCGACGAUCAGUAGCUGGUCUGAGAGGACGAUCAGCCACACUGGGACUGAGACACGGCCCAGACUCCUACGGGAGGCAGCAGUGGGGAAUUUUGGACAAUGGGGGCAACCCUGAUCCAGCAAUGCCGCGUGUGUGAAGAAGGCCUUCGGGUUGUAAAGCACUUUUGUCCGGAAAGAAAUGGCUCUGGUUAAUACCUGGGGUCGAUGACGGUACCGGAAGAAUAAGCACCGGCUAAACUACGUGCCAGCAGCCGGG